rnacentral:rRNA from 1 species
GGAAUCUUCCACAAUGGGCGAAAGCCUGAUGGAGCAAUGCCGCGUGAGUGAAGAAGGUUUUCGGAUCGUAAAACUCUGUUGUUGAAGAAGAACAUGCGUGAGAGUAACUGUUCACGUACUGACGGUAUUCAACCAGAAAGCCACGGCUAACUACGUGCCAGCAGCCGCGGUAAUACGUAGGUGGCAAGCGUUGUCCGGAUUUAUUGGGCGUAAAGAGAAUGUAGGCGGUCUAUUAAGUUUGAAGUGAAAGCCCUCGGCUCAACCGAGGAAGUGCUUCGAAAACUGGUAAACUUGAGUGCAGAAGAGGAAAGUGGAACUCCAUGUGUAGCGGUGGAAUGCGUAGAUAUAUGGAAGAACACCAGUGGCGAAGGCGGCUUUCUGGUCUGUAACUGACGCUGAGAUUCGAAAGCAUGGGUAGCAA